UAGUUAUGCCUCACUUGUAAAUUCCACUCUAUCAGGUUUCCGAGUUGGUUAAGUCAUUGUCAUCAGUAUUGCAAAGAUCAGCAAGUUCCAUGGUGGUGGAUGAACUUGUUUUGCCCCAAAAUGAUGCUUUAAGUUUUGCA